rnacentral:rRNA from 16 species
GGAUGCGAUCAUACCAGCACUAAAGCACCGGAUCCUAUCAGAACUCCAAAGUUAAGCGUGCUUUGGCGAGAGUACUACUAGGAUGGGUGACCUCCUGGGAAGUCCUCGUGUUGCAUUCC